UACGUAGGGACCGAGCGUUGUCCGGAAUCAUUGGGCGUAAAGAGCUCGUAGGCGGUUUGGUAAGUUGGAUGUGAAAUCUCCAGGCUCAACUUGGAGGGGUCAUUCGAUACUGCCAUGACUAGAGUUCGGUAGGGGAGUGUGGAAUUCCUGGUGGAGCGGUGAAAUGCGUAGAUAUCGAGAGGAACACCUGCGGCGAAGGCGGGUAGCUGGGCCGACACUGACGCUGAGGCGCGAAAGCCAGGGGAGCGAACGGG
rnacentral:rRNA from 1 species